AACGAACGCUGGCGGCGUGCCUAACACAUGCAAGUCGAACGAAGGCCCUAGCUUGCUAGGUGUCCUUAGUGGCGAACGGGUGAGUAACACGUGGGAACCUGCCCAAGUGGUGGGGAAUAACUAUGGGAAACCGUAGCUAAUACCGCAUACGCCCUACGGGGGAAAGGCUUCGGCCGCACCUGGAGGGGCCCGCGUCGGAUUAGUUUGUUGGUGGGGUAAUGGCCUACCAAGACUACGAUCCGUAACUGGUCUGAGAGGACGAUCAGUCACACUGGAACUGAGACACGGUCCAG
rnacentral:rRNA from 1 species